CCUACGGGGCGCUGCAGUGGGGAAUAUUGCACAAUGGGGGAAACCCUGAUGCAGCGACGCCGCGUGAGUGAAGAAGUAUUUCGGUACGUAAAGCUCUAUCAGCAGGGAAGAAAAUGACGGUACCUGACUAAGACGCCCCGGCUAACUACGUGCCAGCAGCCGCGGUAAUACGUAGGGGGCAAGCGUUAUCCGGAUUUACUGGGUGUAAAGGGAGCGUAGACGGCAGCGCAAGUCUGGAGUGAAAUCCCAUGGCUUAACCAUGGAACUGCUUUGGAAACUGUGCAGCUAGAGUGCAGGAGAGGUAAGCGGAAUUCCUAGUGUAGCGGUGAAAUGCGUAGAUAUUAGGAGGAACACCAGUGGCGAAGGCGACUUACUGGACUGUAACUGACGUUGAGGCUCGAAAGCGUGGGGAGCAAACAGGAUUAGAUACCCCAGUAGUC
rnacentral:rRNA from 1 species